UACGUAGGGGGCGAGCGUUGUCCGGAUUUAUUGGGCGUAAAGAGCGUGUAGGCGGCCAGGUAGGUCUGCUGUGAAAACUCGAGGCUCAACCUCGAGACGUCGGCGGAAACCAUCUGGCUAGAGUCCGGAAGAGGAGAGUGGAAUUCCUGGUGUAGCGGUGAAAUGCGCAGAUAUCAGGAAGAACACCCGUGGCGAAGGCGGCUCUCUGGGACGGUACUGACGCUCAGGCGCGACAGCGUGGGGAGCAAACAGG
rnacentral:rRNA from 1 species